rnacentral:rRNA from 1 species
AGUGAACGCUGGCGGUAGGCCUAACACAUGCAAGUCGAACGGCAGCACAGUAAGAGCUUGCUCUUACGGGUGGCGAGUGGCGGACGGGUGAGGAAUACAUCGGAAUCUACUUUUUCGUGGGGGAUAACGUAGGGAAACUUACGCUAAUACCGCAUACGACCUACGGGUGAAAGCAGGGGAUCUUCGGACCUUGCGCGAUUGAAUGAGCCGAUGGCGGAUUAGCUAGUUGGCGGGGUAAAGGCCCACCAAGGCGACGAUCCGUAGCUGGUCUAAGAGGAUGAUCAGCCACACUGGAACUGAGACACGGUCCAGACUCCUACGGGAGGCAGCAGUGGGGAAUAUUGGACAAUGGGCGCAAGCCUGAUCCAGCCAUACCGCGUGGGUGAAGAAGGCCUUCGGGUUGUAAAGCCCUUUUGUUGGGAAAGAAAAGCAGCAGGUUAAUACCCCGCUGUUCUGACGGUACCCAAAGAAUAAGCACCGGCUAACUUCGUG